UGCUUCCACAAAGACUCUCUGGACUCCCACAAAGCCUCUCUCAUCUGUGGAUUAUUGACUAAAAUAGUUUCUCCAGGGGCUCCUGGACCAUGGCUGAGCAGGGCUGGAGCCAGUUCAUGGGCCAUUGGAGGGUCCACAGCCAGAACAAGGUGAAAGAAGAAGACUCCAGGCGGGAGUCCUCCUCACUGACUGAGCCCACAGCACCUGCCACAUCCUUCCUCUAUGACUUGACACUUGGUCCUAAGGGCUUGUUGGCCUGAACCAGAAGCCAGCUGCCAGACUGCUUCACCUCAGAGACCACCAAUCUGGGCCUCAUCUCACCUG